GUUUACAGCUGACUGUUGUCGCUGUCGUGGCUGCUGCCGUCUGGGGGGGCCAGGCUGAGCGUCUGCGGAGCUUUCGUUCAGCGUGUCGUCGCCGCUACUUCUACUACGACUGCGGUUGUAGUGUUCUCUCCCCGUGUGAAGCCCCAACCGAACUUCACUUGGCUGGUGUUCAGCGAGAGGAGUUCUCCUCUGGAGUUUCUCCUUGUAUCGCAUUUCGCCACUUUCGCCGAGGAGCAGUAUGACACGCGGAAACCAGCGCGAACUUGCCCGCGCCAAGAAUGCGAAGAAGCAGCAGGAGCUGACGAAAAAAAAAGGUGCCAAUGACAAGGACGGCAACAGAGGUCUAAGCCUUGAAGAACGUCGUCACAGGUAA